GUCAGCAGCCAUAUCACCCUGCAACUCACAACUGGCCCACUGAAGCUAAGCAGGUGUGAGCCUGGUCAGUACCUGGAUGGGAGAGCUCCUGGGAAAAACUAAGGAUGCUGCUGGAA
rfam:Lepisosteus oculatus linkage group LG4, whole genome shotgun sequence.